rnacentral:rRNA from 1 species
ACGGGUGAGUAAUGUCUGGGAAACUGCCUGAUGGAGGGGGAUAACUACUGGAAACGGUAGCUAAUACCGCAUAACGUCGCAAGACCAAAGAGGGGGACCUUCGGGCCUCUUGCCAUCAGAUGUGCCCAGAUGGGAUUAGCUAGUAGGUGGGGUAACGGCUCACCUAGGCGACGAUCCCUAGCUGGUCUGAGAGGAUGACCAGCCACACUGGAACUGAGACACGGUCCAGACUCCUACGGGAGGCAGCAGUGGGGAAUAUUGCACAAUGGGCGCAAGCCUGAUGCAGCCAUGCCGCGUGUAUGAAGAAGGCCUUCGGGUUGUAAAGUACUUUCAGCGGGGAGGAAGGUGUUGUGGUUAAUAACCACAGCAAUUGACGUUACCCGCAGAAGAAGCACCGGCUAACUCCGUGCCAGCAGCCGCGGUAAUACGGAGGGUGCAAGCGUUAAUCGGAAUUACUGGGCGUAAAGCGCACGCAGGCGGUCUGUCAAGUCGGAUGUGAAAUCCCCGGGCUCAACCUGGGAACUGCAUUCGAAACUGGCAGGCUAGAGUCUUGUAGAGGGGGGUAGAAUUCCAGGUGUAGC